CCAGGCGCGAAACUUUACAAUGCGGGAAACCGUGAUAAGGGGACACCGAGUGCCAGCAUCAUAUGCUGGCUGUCCAGGUGUGUAAAAUACACCUGUCAGCAAGGGCCGGGCAAGACCGGUGCCAGCCGCCGCGGUAACACCGGCGGCCCGAGUGGUGAUCGUGAUUAUUGGGUCUAAAGGGUCCGUAGCCGGUUUGGUCAGUCCUCCGGGAAAUCUGACGGCUCAACCGUUAGGCUUUCGGGGGAUACUGCCAGGCUUGGAACCGGGAGAGGUAAGAGGUACUACAGGGGUAGGAGUGAAAUCUUGUAAUCCCUGUGAGACCACCUGUGGCGAAGGCGUCUUACCAGAACGGGUUCGACGGUGAGGGACGAAAGCUGGGGGCACGAACCGGAUUAGAUACCCGGGUAGUCCCAGCCGUAAACGAUGCUCGCUAGGUGUCAGGCAUGGCGCGACCGUGUCUGGUGCCGCAGGGAAGCCGUGAAGCGAGCCACCUGGGAAGUACGGCCGCAAGGCUGAAACUUAAAGGAAUUGGCGGGGGAGCAC
rnacentral:rRNA from 1 species